UAAGUGCUCAAUAAAAAGUGAGCAGCGC
rnacentral:piRNA from 1 species